UACGUAGGGGGCAAGCGUUGUCCGGAUUUAUUGGGCGUAAAGAGCUCGUAGGCGGUUCCGUAAGUCGGGUGUGAAAAAUCUGGGCUCAACCCAGUGGAGCACCCGAUACUGCGGUGACUCGAGUCCGGGAGAGGUGAGUGGAAUUCCUAGUGUAGAGGUGAAAUUCGUAGAUAUUAGGAAGAACACCAGUGGCGAAGGCGGCUCACUGGCCCGGUACUGACGCUGAGGCGCGAAAGCGUGGGGAGCAAACAGG
rnacentral:rRNA from 1 species